AUCAUGCAAGUCGAACGCUUCUUUUUCCACCGGAGCUUGCUCCACCGGAAAAAGAAGAGUGGCGAACGGGUGAGUAACACGUGGGUAACCUCGCCCAUCAGAAGGGGAUAACACUUGGAAACAGGUGCUAAUACCGUAUAACAAUCAAAACCGCAUGGUUUUGAUUUGAAAGGCGCUUUCGGGUGUCGCUGAUGGAUGGACCCGCGGUGCAUUAGCUAGUUGGUGAGGUAACGGCUCACCAAGGCCACGAUGCAUAGCCGACCUGAGAGGGUGAUCGGCCACAUUGGGACUGAGACACGGCCCAAACUCCUACGGGAGGCAGCAGUAGGGAAUCUUCGGCAAUGGACGAAAGUCUGACCGAGCAACGCCGCGUGAGUGAAGAAGGUUUUCGGAUCGUAAAACUCUGUUGUUAGAGAAGAACAAGGAUGAGAGUAACUGUUCAUCCCUUGACGGUAUCUAACCAGAAAGCCACGGCUAACUACGUGCCAGCAGCCGCGGUAAUACGUAGGUGGCAAGCGUUGUCCGGAUUUAUUGGGCGUAAAGCGAGCGCAGGCGGUUUCUUAAGUCUGAUGUGAAAGCCCCCGGCUCAACCGGGGAGGGUCAUUGGAAACUGGGAGACUUGAGUGCAGAAGAGGAGAGUGGAAUUCCAUGUGUAGCGGUGAAAUGCGUAGAUAUAUGGAGGAACACCAGUGGCGAAGGCGGCUCUCUGGUCUGUAACUGACGCUGAGGCUCGAAAGCGUGGGGAGCAAACAGGAUUAGAUACCCCUGGUAGUCCACGCCGUAAACGAUGAGUGCUAAGUGUUGGAGGGUUUCCGCCCUUUCAGUGCUGCAGCUAACGCAUUAAGCACUCCGCCUGGGGAGUACGACCGCAAG
rnacentral:rRNA from 1 species